rnacentral:rRNA from 1 species
UACGAAGGGGGCUAGCGUUGCUCGGAAUCACUGGGCGUAAAGGGCGCGUAGGCGGGUUCUUAAGUCAGAGGUGAAAUCCUGGAGCUCAACUCCAGAACUGCCUUUGAUACUGAGAGUCUUGAGUAUGACAGAGGUGAGUGGAACUGCGAGUGUAGAGGUGAAAUUCGUAGAUAUUCGCAAGAACACCAGUGGCGAAGGCGGCUCACUGGCCCGAUACUGACGCUGAGGCACGAAAGCGUGGGGAGCAAACAGG